CCUACGGGAGGCAGCAGUGAGGAAUAUUGGUCAAUGGACGAGAGGCUGAACCAGCCAAGUAGCGUGAGGGAAGACUGCCCUAUGGGUUGUAAACCUCUUUUAUAUGGGAAUAAAAGGGUCCACGUGUGGGAUUUUGCAUGUACCAUAUGAAUAAGGAUCGGCUAACUCCGUGCCAGCAGCCGCGGUAAUACGGAGGUUCCGAGCGUUAUCCGGAUUUAUUGGGUUUAAAGGGAGCGUAGGUGGGUUGUUAAGUCAGUUGUGAAAUUUUGCGGCUCAACCAUAAAAGUGCAGUUGAAACUGGGAGUCUUGAGUACGGGAGAGGUAGGUGGAAUUCGUGGUGUAGCGGUGAAAUGCUUAGAUAUCACGAAGAACACCGAUUGCGAAGGCAGCUUACUGGACCGUAACUGACGCUGAGGCUCGAAAGUGUGGGUAUCAAACAGGAUUAGAUACCCGAGUAGUC
rnacentral:rRNA from 1 species